CAAUCCCCUCCGCCCAGCCUGUUCCACCCGAUGCAGAAACCUCCAUGGCGUCCGCGUCUACCUCGCCCGCCACGAAAAUUUGGAGGCUGCUGCACGGCCAAGGAGAGGUCCUCCUCAGAAGCUGCAGCUGCAGCUGGGCCUGGACGCCGACGACCACGCACAAGGAGACGGCGACCUGGACAUGAUCGUCCAGGAGGAGGAGCUCGCACAACCCGACCCCGACCCUGACCAUGGCGACGCCCACAAAACAAGGUAUACUUUCUUCUGACAUUUCCCGUUUGAGGGAUGUCAUGUGCCAAGCAAAGUCAGGGAUGGGGAAGACUGCUUGUGGUAUUGUCCCACACGAGAGAGCUGGCUUACCAGGUUACUCUAUUCUAUGGAGGUAUUCACAUGAAGAAACACUAAGGGUUUAUUUGCCAUCCUCACUGUGGUGGGCACAACUGGAAGGAUUCUAGCUCUAGCUAGAGAGAAGGACCUUUCUUUGAUGAAUGUGAUGCAUUUCAUUCUUGAUGAGUGUGAUGAGAUGCUAGAGUCACUUGGGGAGAAUUGGAGCUGGAGCAAGUCAGGAGGUAGCGAUGGCUGCCGGAUCCGCCAGGCAGGCUGUGUGGUAGCUUUGUUUUUCGACUCCGUGGGUUUAGCAGGUAAAGAAAGAAGAAGAGCAAGAAGGCUACAGAGAAGGAUCUGCCCUGAUCCUUUCACUUUUUUGCAUUUGAUCUUGUUGGUGCGGUAGUCGGGAAGCGCGACCCAGAGAGACAUCCCAGCAUAUGCAGUGCCGCUUUUAUGUGUAGUAGUACACUUUUUCGGCCCUUGUAAUAUUCAGUAGUACACGUUGUAAAAUCCAUUUGUGUAAUGCUACAGGCUUCGGAAGUUGGUAAAUGGCCAUGUCUGUGAUUUUUGUUCCUAGCUAGCUCGCGUUUCUGUUUGGUAAAUGCGCACGUCAGCGAUAUGUGUAGUACUACCUGUGAGCAAGGUUGGAUCGUGUGCUGUACGAACAACCGUUUGUUGACUGUUGCAAAAAGAGGGAGGGUCAUGGCAAAAUUUUGAGCACUACGGCUAAUUAAACUUGCAUUGACUA